AUGAGCCUGCAACCUGACUGGGAUCCUCAGCCCAUUGGAACCCAUCUGAGAACCCAAGAGCCCAGAGAUGUUUGGUGGCAGCCCCUUGCUGGGACUGCCCAGGAACCAGGAGACAGUGUCCCUAAAGACUGUGUUCACACCCCUCUGAGAUGGAAGGUGCCUCUGCAGCUGGGAUCCUCAGCAGAUGCUUUGCUGAGCUGUCUUCGCGGUCCUGCCAGCUGGGAAGGCAGAGGAAGAGGAAGGGCUGGACCACAUUCAGAAGCAAGAAUUCCUUUGGAGAAGGGUCUGGAGUUGUCCUGGAACACUCCAGAGGCUCAGAGAGCCCCCCUUGCUCUGCUCCCUGAGCUCCUCUCCCAAGGAAGCCCUUGAAGUGAGCAGAGAGAGGGCUCUGCCAGCCACCCAUACCUGAGCCACAGCAGCUUCCCACAGGCUGUUCAGAAGCAGGAAAAGUCACCUAUGAAUGUUAAGCUUAAAAAAGCAGCAGCACUGAUGAGUAUUUUUGGCAUGAACUGAAGAAUCCUUUUGUUCCAGCUACAGCCCACAUGCUGAUUCAGCUCAGCAGCUCUCCUCUUCUGUUCUCCUCCUUCCCAGGGCUUUCUUAAACACCACUCCUAGGCUGCUGUUUUCUUCCAGCCUGCUUCAGUAAUGUUUGGUAAUGAUGGCUGAUAAAAAUAUUGGCACAUAGUCUCAGCUGGUGGCAGUAGUCUGUAGGAGCAUGCUAUCAGUCAGGAUAUGACUCUGUUCUUUUUUCAAUUUUUUUUUUGCUAUAUUUAUUUGAUCUCAUCUACAAUAAAGCCUUUUGAUACUGCUGAAGUGAUAGAAAG
rnacentral:lncRNA from 1 species